UUUUUUAAAACUUUUGUUUGUCAUUUGUAAAUUUUAUAAAUUUACCACAAUGCAAAGUGAUUAUUUAAGGAAAUUAUUAUUGGAAACUACGCAGAUGUUUUAGAAAGAUAUUCAUUGAAGCUGAAAAUAAUUGGAGAUUUAGAUCCAUAUAUAAAACAGUCAUCAGAAUUGGAUUUUACAGUGCAUUCCAUCAAUUACUGUUAUAAUGCUAUUAUAGAUAGACUGGUAGAGUCUCACAGUUACUACUUUAAGCAGCAGAUGAAAGCAUACAAAAGCCUUCAGGCACAUAAAAGCCUUGACUGAAACUGGAUUUGUUUUGAAACAAUU
rnacentral:lncRNA from 1 species